CCUACGGGGGGCAGCAGUGGGGAAUAUUGGACAAUGGGGGGAACCCUGAUCCAGCCAUGCCGCGUGUGUGAAGAAGGCCCUCGGGUUGUAAAGCACUUUCAGUGAGGAAGAACGCCUGGUGGUUAAUACCCAUCAGGAAAGACAUCACUCACAGAAGAAGCACCGGCUAACUCCGUGCCAGCAGCCGCGGUAAUACGGAGGGUGCGAGCGUUAAUCGGAAUUACUGGGCGUAAAGCGCGCGUAGGUGGCUUGAUAAGCCGGUUGUGAAAGCCCGGGCUCAACCUGGGAACGGCAUCCGGAACUGUCAAGCUAGAGUGCAGGAGAGGAAGGUAGAAUUCCCGGUGUAGCGGUGAAAUGCGUAGAGAUCGGGAGGAAUACCAGUGGCGAAGGCGGCCUUCUGGACUGACACUGACACUGAGGUGCGAAAGCGUGGGUAGCAAACAGGAUUAGAUACCCCAGUAGUC
rnacentral:rRNA from 1 species